rnacentral:rRNA from 1 species
UACGAAGGGGGCUAGCGUUGUUCGGAAUUACUGGGCGUAAAGCGCACGUAGGCGGAUACUUAAGUCAGGGGUGAAAUCCCGGGGCUCAACCCCGGAACUGCCUUUGAUACUGGGUAUCUCGAGUCCGGAAGAGGUGAGUGGAAUUCCGAGUGUAGAGGUGAAAUUCGUAGAUAUUCGGAGGAACACCAGUGGCGAAGGCGGCUCACUGGUCCGGGUACUGACGCUGAGGGUGCGAAAAGCGUGGGGAGCAAACAGG